rnacentral:rRNA from 1 species
UACGAAGGGUGCAAGCGUUACUCGGAAUUACUGGGCGUAAAGCGUGCGUAGGUGGUUUGUUAAGUCUGAUGUGAAAGCCCGGGGCCCAACCCCGGAAGUGCAUUGGAUACUACGAAGCUUGAGUGCUGGAGAGGAGAGCGGAAUUCCCGGUGUAGAGGUGAAAUUCGUAGAUAUCGGGAGGAACACCAGUGGCGAAGGCGGCUCUCUGGACAGACACUGACGCUGAGACGCGAAAGCAUGGGGAUCAAACAGG